GAGUAACUAUGACUCUCUUAAGGUAGCCAAAUGCCUCGUCAUCGUAUAACGGAAUAACGGCACCUAAGAGCAAAAAACACGUACCGAGGUAACGGCGUGACGUUCGAAAGGCAAUCGAUAAACGAAGCCGGGGAUCGUGCAGGCGUGGGACUUAGCGAAAUUUUCGAUAAAUCUUCACCCGGCGAGACCUAUGGGAUCUAACCGCGAAGGAGGGGCUCGAUGUCCCGACUGGCGACCAAGCCGACCGUGAUAGACACCGUAGUACCGUGGCCCAUUAACUUGGUGGUGGCGGGAAGGCAGGCGGAUCUAACCGGGAGGAAGGCGAAGAGACUAUACGGUUCCUUAAGGCGAUAUAAAGAGAUAGUCCACCCAACGAGAGUAAUCGUGAUGAGUGCGAAGCGAGUGGCUUGUGAUUCCCGGUUAAAAAAACAACAACCGGGGGUGAGCAUUGGCCAGCGGCUUCCUCGUGUCGCUCGGUAGCGGUGAAACCCUUCGGGACAGCUUUUUUCGAAGCGCUGCUGUCCCGUUGUGGGGGGUGUUAAUUUGUGACGCGCAUGAAUGGAUUAAUGAGAUUCCCACUGUCCCUACCUACUAUCUAGCGAAACCACAGCCAAGGGAACGGGCUUGGCACAAUUAGCGGGGAAAGAAGACCCUGUUGAGCUUGACUCUAGGCACAGAAGCGAGGUGAUUCUAAAGGUGUAGCAUAGGUGGGAGGGCCUGGCCCGACCUUGAAAUACCACCACUUGAGACAUUGCUUUGCUAAUGCUGUAACGAACGAACGGCCCCCGGGCCGCCAUCCGCAAGGGUGGCACCCGGUACGGUCAUAUUCUAGCGCUUUCCUAGUCGAGUACGACGGCUUGGCUCCUCUGGGUGAGUACCCUGGGACCGCAAGUUGGGCUUCCGGGUCUGACGAGCGUUGCUCCUGGGGGAACCAGGGAUAGUUGGGCUGUCCUCUGCUUGGCGAUUCGGGUACGUAAGCCGUGUAGCAGACCAUCUGUGUUGGGGAGUUUGGCUGGGGCGGAAAACUGCUACACGGCAACGGCAGUCUCCUAAGGUCCACUCAGAGACGACAGAAACGUCUCGUAGAGCAUAAAGGCAAAAGUGGGCUUAACUUACAUUCUCAGUAGUAAUGUGAAGCAAGAAAUUGAGGCUUAACGAUCCUUAGCAGCGGGUGCCAGCCCAUGCUUGAGGUGAGAGAAAAGUUACCACAGGGAUUGAUCAAAGCGUAGCUUUCCGGGAUAUUCCAAUGGAGGUCAGUAGGGACGCCGAACACCUCCGGAGUAUCUCGUAUGACUCGGGUUUGCAGUAGUACGACCGGCUCUCCUCGCGGGGGGCUGGAGAUACGAGACAUUCUCGGGUUUGGUUCCAAAACGUAGUCAGACUCGAGAGAAGCGCAGGUUUCUCGGGUCAGGCGACGCACCUGGUUGCUGGGAACACCCAUCCCAAACGGCUUCGGUACCAAGCGUUCCCCGGUGAUUCCGGGGCGUGAAGUGUGAGCCCUUCCACCCUUCAAUGGGGGUCGGCGAGCACGGGUAAUAAUCCGAUGUCCGGGGUAGACCAGCAGGCGACAAGGACUGCCCAAGUUGGCUAAUAGGGGGAGAGUAGGGAUCUUCGGAUCUCUCCGAGCCCGACUUGCCAUCUGGUAACGGCGUCUAAGCGUCUCAACGACUGGGAAGGUGCGGGUGCUUGUGGGCCUGAAGCAGAGUUACUCCUACCCGGGGUUUCUCCGUGAUAAGGCUUGCUAGUGCUUAAGGUACAGUCUACCCCCACCCGCAAGGGUGUCCUUGGCUCCCACCCGGAGAAAUCCCGUUUGCGACGUCACGCAUUGCGAGGCGGCUUACUGCAAUAGGGCAAAUCGCCGGAUGACCCACCACUGCAGGGUCGGCCAAAGGAGAGGUUUCGUCGUUAAGUAUGAUACCCCGAGAUCGUUAGCGUAGGGAGAUUCCUGGGAUGGAGGCUUUCACCACCACCCCGCUUAAGGUUUCACCCAAGAGAUCACGAGGAGGAUGCUAUACGGCGAUUCCCGGUAUGGGGAACUGGCUUGUGGCCGCCAAGCGUUCAUAGCGACGUGGC
rnacentral:rRNA from 1 species